GAUGAACGCUGGCGGCGUGCCUAAUACAUGCAAGUCGAGCGAACAGACGAGGAGCUUGCUCCUCUGACGUUAGCGGCGGACGGGUGAGUAACACGUGGAUAACCUACCUAUAAGACUGGGAUAACUUCGGGAAACCGGAGCUAAUACCGGAUAAUAUAUUGAACCGCAUGGUUCAAUAGUGAAAGACGGUUUUGCUGUCACUUAUAGAUGGAUCCGCGCCGCAUUAGCUAGUUGGUAAGGUAACGGCUUACCAAGGCGACGAUGCGUAGCCGACCUGAGAGGGUGAUCGGCCACACUGGAACUGAGACACGGUCCAGACUCCUACGGGAGGCAGCAGUAGGGAAUCUUCCGCAAUGGGCGAAAGCUUGACGGAGCAACGCCGCGUGAGUGAUGAAGGUCUUCGGAUCGUAAAACUCUGUUAUUAGGGAAGAACAAAUGUGUAAGUAACAAUGCACGUCUUGACGGUACCUAAUCAGAAAGCCACGGCUAACUACGUG
rnacentral:rRNA from 1 species